UACAGAGGUCUCAAGCGUUGUUCGGAUUCAUUGGGCGUAAAGGGUGCGUAGGCGGCGCGGUAAGUCGGGUGUGAAAUCUCGGAGCUUAACUCCGAAACUGCAUUCGAUACUGCCGUGCUUGAGGACUGGAGAGGAGACUGGAAUUUACGGUGUAGCGGUGAAAUGCGUAGAUAUCGUAAGGAAGACCAGUGGCGAAGGCGGGGUCUCUGGACAGUUUCC
rnacentral:rRNA from 1 species